CAUGAACUAAACUAGUGGGGUUGAUAAAUAUCGUCGUAGUUUACCGCGCCGCUCGCGUUGAACGAGAUUUUGAUCAGUUUUAAAAGGCCAACUCUGAACAAACAAAUCAACGAACGGCUUUGGAAACGCUCAGGAUAUUAAGUAAUAAUAGAUAAAUACCAUCGAAACUUCAUACCAACGUAAUUGUUGAUCCCACAGCACAUUGCAUAGCAUGAAAAAGUAGAGAAAAAAAGCGAAACUAGUCGAAAUUGGAAAUUUAUAGUCCUGAUUCAAGAAUGUAGAUACGAUUAAGCAAUGAAAUUUAUAAACCUUUUUUCGUAUUUUCCGAUUUAUUCAUAAGUAAAACGAAUUUGACAAGAUAAAAUGAAUGUUUAAAUUAAUCGAUUAAUCUUUUUUCAAACGGUAAUUGAUUUAAAAUUAUGAUGUAAAACCUGAGGAACUGAAAUUGCAUUAUUUCAGAAUGACUGACAUUUCAAUUGAUAGAAAUUCAUCUCGGAAUAAUUCAAAAUCGUUACCUCCGUCAACGAGUAUUCAAAUUCUAUGAUUCAAAUAUGGCGGCUUCAGUCUGAUUCGAUUGUUCGAUCGAAAAGUAUCGACCUCUUCUAUAAUUCACACACUGCUUAGUAUAAAUCAGUGUGUAUCAGUGGUAUGUACAGCGCACUAUUCUUCAGUCAAUGGCCAUGAAAAUAUUCCCACUCCCAAAUAAGAACUAUUUUCUUCCGCGUAACAAAAUGGCAGUUCUUAGGUCCUGUAUAUAACGUACGAGCGGAAUACUAUCCCUGCCUCUUCCUCAUUAAGAGUUGAGUUGUGUUCACGUGUGGUUGUGUCUCCUUUUUCCACAAAAAUAGGUCACACAACCCACCUCCAUUCGUGAAUAAUUAACUCUUCUAAGAAAAAAAAUUAAAAAAAAAUAAAAAAAAAAAACCAAAAAAA
rnacentral:lncRNA from 1 species